rnacentral:rRNA from 1 species
AAGCGGGAAGAGCUCAAAUUUAUAAUCUGGCACCUUCGGUGUCCGAGUUGUAAUCUCUAGAAGUGUUUUCCGCGUUGGACCGCACACAAGUCUGUUGGAAUACAGCGGCAUAGUGGUGAGACCCCCGUAUAUGGUGCGGACGCCCAACGCUUUGUGAUACACUUUCGAAGAGUCGAGUUGUUUGGGAAUGCAGCUCAAAUUGGGUGGUAAAUUCCAUCUAAAGCUAAAUAUUGGCGAGAGACCGAUAGCGAACAAGUACCGUGAGGGAAAGAUGAAAAGCACUUUGGAAAGAGAGUUAACAGUACGUGAAAUUGUUGGAAGGGAAACGCUUGAAGUCAGACUUGCUUGCCGAGCAAUCGGUUUGCAGGCCAGCAUCAGUUUUCCGGGGUGGAUAAUGGUAGAGAGAAGGUAGCAGUUUCGGCUGUGUUAUAGCUCUUUGCUGGAUACACCUUGGGGGACUGAGGAACGCAGUGUGCCUUACGGCGGAUUUCUCGAGAUCUUCACACUUAGGAUGCUGGUGGAAUGGCUUUAAACGACCCGUCUUGAAACACGGAC